rnacentral:rRNA from 1 species
UACAGAGGUCCCAAGCGUUGUUCGGAUUCACUGGGCGUAAAGGGUGCGUAGGUGGUCGGGUAAGUCUGAGGUGAAAUCUCCGAGCUCAACUCGGAAACUGCCUUGGAUACUAUCCGGCUUGAGGGUUGGAGGGGGGACUGGAAUUCUCGGUGUAGCAGUGAAAUGCGUAGAUAUCGAGAGGAACACCAGUGGCGAAGGCGAGUCCCUGGACAACUCCUGACGCUGAGACGCGAAAGCGUGGGGAGCAAACAGG